UACGAACCGUGCGAACGUUGUUCGGAAUCACUGGGCUUAAAGGGCGCGUAGGCGGGCCCGCAAGUCGGGGGUGAAAUCUUUCAGCUCAACUGGAAAAGUGCCCCCGAUACUGCGGGUCUCGAGGGAGGUAGGGGCGUGCGGAACUAAUGGUGGAGCGGUGAAAUGCGUAGAUAUCAUUAGGAACGCCGGUGGCGAAAGCGGCGCGCUGGACCUCUUCUGACGCUGAGGCGCGAAAGCCAGGGGAGCAAACGGG
rnacentral:rRNA from 1 species